GCAACAUUUAAUCUCCAGCGCCAAGUUGCUAGGACAUCUUAGACUAUUGGGUUCUGCUCAGGCAUAAUUCCAUCAUUACCAUUGAUUUGUUCGCUCACGCUCCCCAUGGUGCUUUUAAUCAGCUCUCCAUCUUUGUGCCUUCACACCUUUACGCUUUUCAUGAUUGGCUCUGCUACCUUCUGCCUCUGCAAUGAAAUAGUGCCGUAGAAAUCCUUCUGCAUCUUACACACUUUAACAAUUCCAUUUCUUCUCUCUCUGGUCCAGUGAAGGGAUGUCCCUUUCCCACAAAGGCACCACUGUCUCUACAAAGCUCUCUGCAUUGUAUACAGAAGAUAAAACUAACACACUGGUAAAGGAUUUUCAGUUGGAUAAGUUCCU
rnacentral:lncRNA from 1 species